UACGAAGGGGGCUAGCGUUGCUCGGAAUCACUGGGCGUAAAUGGUGCGUAGGCGGGUUUUUAAGUCAGAGGUGAAAUCCUGGAGCUCAACUCCAGAACUGCCUUUGAUACUGAAAGUCUUGAGUAUGGGAGAGGUGAAUGGAACUGCGAGUGUAGAGGUGAAAUUCGUAGAUAUUCGCAAGAACACCAGUGGCGAAGGCGGCUCACUGGCCCAUAACUGACGCUGAGGCACGAAAGCGUGGGGAGCAAACAGG
rnacentral:rRNA from 1 species